AGAGCAUAUGGUGGAUGCCUUGACUCUAAGAGGCGAUGAAGGACGUAGCAGGCGGCGAUACGCUUCGGGGAGGUGCCUAGCAACCUUUGAUCCGGAGAUUUCCGAAUGGGGAAACCCUAUCUGGUAAAACCAGAUAACUCUGCGCAAGCGGAGAGUACACCCGGGGAAGUAAAACAUUUCAGUACCCGGAGGAAAAGAGAACAAUAUUGAGCUUUCUGAUUGUGGAGAUACUUCGGUGUCUCUACGAUCAGGAGCUCUUGUCAUUCCCUGAGUAGCGGCGAGCGAAAAGGGAGAAGCCCAAACUUGUCGUGCUUGCACGAUGAGGGUUGUAGGACGGAGAUUCGAGUAUUCUCGGAAGAGUUACAAAAUAUGUUGUUAGCCGAAGUUGCUGGAAAGCAACACCAAAGGAGGUAAUAGUCCUGUAGGCGAAAAUUACAUAUCUCUUCAGUCUCCGAACCUGAGUACAGCAGGACACGAAUAGCCUGCUGGAAUCCGCCAGCACUAACUGGCAAGGCUAAAUACUCUUAGAGAUCGAUAGUGAACAAGUACCGUGAGGGAAAGGUGAAAAGAACCCCGAUGAGGGGAGUGAAAUAGAUCCUGAAACCAUAUGCUUACAAGGAGUCGGAGCGGUUGUCGUAAGAUGACCGUCACGGCGUGCCUAUUGAAGAAUGAGCCAACGAGUUUUGGCAUGCGGCUGGCUAAGAGCCUUUAAAGCUCGGAGCCAUAGCGAAAGCGAGUGUUAAUAGCGCGAACAAAAGUCGUACGUCAAAGACCCGAAGCCAGAUGAUCUACCCAUGAGCAGGGUGAACCUUCUCGAAAGAGGAGGGGAGGCCCGAACCGGUAAGCCGUUCAACACUUUCGGAUGACUUGUGGGUCGGAGUGAAAAGCUAAUCGAAUCUGGUAAUAGCUGGUUUUCUCCGAAAUAGCUUUUGGGCUAGCGUCGCGUGUUCCUACUGGGGGUAGAGCACUGGAUGGUCUCGACAGGGAGCAAUCUCGCGAGACCAAUCAAACUCCGAAUACCAGUAGUUAGAAUGCGGCAGUUAGACUCUGGGGGCGAAGCUCCAGUGGUCAAAAGGGAAACAGCCCGGACCUCCAAUUAAGGUCCCAAAAUCUAUGCUCAGUGCAAGUAAGGAGGUGAUAUUUCUCGGACAGUGAGGAGGUUGGCUUAGAAGCAGCCAUCCUUUAAAGAAAGCGUAACAGCUCACUCACUCAGAGAUUUCGCACCGAAGAUGAUCGGGGCUUAAGCAUAGUACCGAAAUUGAGGACUGGAUGUCGCUUCGGUGACAUCCAGUGGUAGGAGAAUAUUCCAUUCUGCUGUGAAGCCAAAGGGGUGACCCAUGGUGGAGCGUAUGGAAGAAAGAAUGUUGGCACAAGUAACCGCAACGCGGGUGAGAGCCCCGCGCGCCGAAAUACCAAGGUUUCCUGGGCGAUGAUGAUCAGCCCAGGGUUAGUCGGGCCUAAGCCGAUGGCGAAAGCCGCAGGCGAUGGACACAUGGUUAAUAUUCCAUGACUUCCGUGUAUUGCGAUGGAGUGACGAAGGGUAGUAUGUCUCGCAUAUUAUUGGAUUUAUGUUCGUGUCGUGAGGACGCUCUUUAGGCAAAUCCGGAGAGCUCACUUUAAUGUGGAUUCCAAGCGAAGCGGAAACUCUGCGGGCAACCGCGGGGGAUGAGACAAAGCACGCUUCCGAGAAAAACUUCUAAGCAUAAAUACAUGGGAACCGUACCGCAAACCGACACAGGUGGUAGGGUCGAGAAGACCAAGGCGAACGAGUGAGAGGUCUCCAAGGAACUCGGCAAAAAAGCGGCCGUAAGUUCGCAAUAAGGCCUCCCUAAGCCGCAAGGUUUAGGGCGCAGCGAAAGAUUCCCUGGCAACUGUUUACCAAAAACACAGCUCCCUGCAAACUCGCAAGAGGAAGUAUAGGGGGUGACGCCUGACCAAUGCCCGAAGGUCAAAUAUCGGUGGUGGUAUGGAGCAAUCUGUACUGCUGGCUGAUAUAAGCCCGGGUCAAUGUCGGCGAUAACUAUAAUCGUCCUAAGGUAGCGCAAUUCCUUGUCUGGUAAGUUCAGACGUGCACGAAUGGCGUAAUGACUGGGGAACUGUCUCGGAGACUCGCUCGGUGAAAAUACAGUGCCGGUGAAGAUGCCGGCUACCUGCAGUUAGACGAAAAGACCCCAGAAGCUUUACUACAACUUGAUAUUGGGUAUGUUUUAGCACUGCGUAGAAUAGAUGGGAGGAUUUGAAGCAAGGGUUUCGGUUCUUGUGGAUCCAACAGUGAAAUACCAUUCUUUGCGGAGGCAUAUUCUAACCCGGACGGCAAAACCGUUCAGAGACAGUAUCUGGUGGGUAGUUUUAGUGGGGCGCUAUCCUCCUAAAAAGUAACGGAGGAGCCCAAAGGUCAGCUAGGCGCGAAUGGAAACCGUGCCGAUAGUGUAUAGGCAUAAGCUGGCUUCACUGCAAGAGGUACAUCUCGAGCAGCUGCGAAAGCAGGGCUAAGUGAACCGACCAUACGCAUUAGAUGCGGUGGAAGAUUAACGGAUAAAAGUUACUCUGGGGAUAACAGGCUAGUUCCGCCCAAGAGUUCAUAUCGACGGCGGAGUUCGGCACCUCGAUGUCGGCUCAACACAUCCCGGGGGUGGAGAAGCUCCCAAGGGUAUGGCUGUUCGCCAUUUAAAGUGUUACGCGAGCUGGGUUCAGACCG
rnacentral:rRNA from 1 species